rnacentral:tRNA from 1 species
GGGGAUGUAGCUUAGUGGAUAAAGCAACAGACUUCGAAUCUGUUUAUUGUGGGUUCGAAUCCCAUCAUCCCCA